rnacentral:lncRNA from 1 species
GUGAGCGCCGCCGGCCCCGCCAGCCCCUCACGGCGGCGCCCGCUGCCCCACGUGACCCCUCCCCGCACCGCCCACUGGCCGCCGAGGCUGUGACGGAGCCGAGCGGGGCGGGGCUCGGAGGGGGGACGGCCGUUGCCGUGGCAACCGGCGCCGCCGCCGCCGCCGUCCUGCUCCAGAAGGUUCGGCCCGGGGCCGGCCGCCGGGCCCGGCGGGGAGCGGGGCGCAGCCCCACGCCUGGAGCCCCUCGCUGCGCCUCGGGCUGCCGCUCCCCGAGCCCCCUGUUGCCUGGCGAGGCGGCGGGGCCCGGCCCGGUGCGGCUUGGUGGGGGGGAGGCCCCGCCGGGGGGCANNNNNNNNNNGGCCCGGUGCGGCUUGGUGGGGUGCAGGCCCCGCCGGGGAGCAAGCCCGGCCUCCACCCCGACUCCUGUCAGGCGUUUGGCCGCUGCCGCCCGCUGCCCCGUCCUUAGCAAUUUGAAAAAGAAUUAUUAUAUUUUUUCCAGUAGGUGGCAGUAAAAUAAAGCGACCGUGUUGUGCGAGGCGGGCUGCCUCCCCUGAGCGGGAGCCUUUGGGAGAGCAACGGCACCUCAGUGGCACGCACCAACGGCCUGCGCGAAAAGCAGCCAUAAAUAGCUGUUCCAGCGAAAUAUAGCAGCGAGGAAAAACGGAGGCCGGGAUGGAGGAAGGAUAUCUGACCGCAGGUCCUGGCUCUGGCUGCGUGGCAGCCGGCUGUGGCUCGGGAUUACCUUUCACUCCGCACCAGCUAAGCACGCACAAGGCAUAUCCGAUUGCUGAGGCUUUAAGAACUGUAACAUGGAAAUCCAGCCACUGCCUCCAGAGAUGUGGGGACCAGCAGCAUCCCAGGAAGGUGGCCGUCCCUCCUGUCCCCCCUGGCAUGCCAGGACCACCCGGGGCAACACAGACCCCAGCAGCUGGUUUAGUUGAUGUGGGAGGGGAAGAAUCUCCUUCCUACAAACUCCCCCAGGGACCGCACCACACCACAUAGAUGCCCUGUGUCGUGUGUGGAUUAAGUCAUGGGUUCAAGCUGAUCUCUCCUGAAACAGGUUUCUUGAGUUCAAGGAUAUCCACUAAAAAUAACUCGCUUCUUGUAACUUGACAAAUGGAAAACUGUAAUCAUCGAGAAGGUUGGUUUUGGGUUACUGAUGGGAAAAUGGCCUUCAGGAUCAUCCAGUCCUGCUCAUAUCAGAGCGACUGAAGCAGAAGUAGCAAAAUUUGAUCUCCUAGCUGGCAGUGUUUUCUUUGAUACCAUUAUUUUAGGAGCAAAAAUCUUCCUGAAGUGAUGUAACAAUAAUAGUCAUUUAAAAACUAAACACAGCUCCUUUUCAAGGAAUUCUCAUCAUAAAAAAAAUAGUUUUGGAGAUGCAGGAUGACUCAAGAAAUCAGAAAGGGCUAGUGAACAUUUUACCUAAAAGUUAUCAAAUCAAAAUCAGCCUGGUUUGAUUUUAAUUGGCAGUGGCUGUUCAGCAGGCUAAGUGAAAUGAGUUUGCUAAUGUAAUUUCUAGGGGUAGAGGUCUUUGCUGACAGCCAGAACUCUGGAUGGCUCGAGUUACAGCAUUAUCUUUUCACUCCUACACACCCUUCGCCUGAGUCAGAUUUAAGGUAAUUUGGCUUUAGGAGGAACUUAGUGUUAGAGCUGAUGGUAUCAGAGAUGCCCCGGCACGAGCCCUGGGUGACAAACCCCUGUCCUGCUGGCUCUGCAGGCUGCACGGCACUCCCCACACCCCCGUGUUUUACUUGGAUAAGCUGUUUCUUUCCCUUUUGUAAUCAGGAAUCCGUUCCCUUUCACUAGGAGCACGGAGCAAAGUGGAAAAUAUGACAAAAAAUAAACUCUCCGUAGGCAAGAGUCCGAAAUGCUGA